GACGAACGCUGGCGGCGUGCUUAACACAUGCAAGUCGAACGGAAAGGCCCUGCUUUUGUGGGGUGCUCGAGUGGCGAACGGGUGAGUAACACGUGAGUAACCUGCCCUUGACUUUGGGAUAACUUCAGGAAACUGGGGCUAAUACCGGAUAGGAGCUCCUGCUGCAUGGUGGGGGUUGGAAAGUUUCGGCGGUUGGGGAUGGACUCGCGGCUUAUCAGCUUGUUGGUGGGGUAGUGGCUUACCAAGGCUUUGACGGGUAGCCGGCCUGAGAGGGUGACCGGCCACAUUGGGACUGAGAUACGGCCCAGACUCGUACGGGAGGCAGCAGUGGGGAAUAUUGCACGAUGGGCGGAAGCCUGAUGCAGCAACGCCGCGUGCGGGAUGACGGCCUUCGGGCUGUAAACCGCUUUCGCCUGUGACGAAGCGUGAGUGACGGUAAUGGGUAAAGAAGCACCGGCUAACUACGUG
rnacentral:rRNA from 1 species